CGCUGUCCCUGUACUGUCCCUUCCUAGACUUUCUGCACUUCAUCAGUAUACGGGAGAGUUUGUAGCGGAAUACAGGGUGAGAUGAGGUCUUGAUCAUCGAUUGUCAGAUGAGUGAAGGUUGGUGUUGCUUGGUCUACAGUUUUCUGCAGGAAUUUCCUUAGGCAUGGGAGGACACAACAAAUGAGAAGAGCGAGAAUAAAAAGAAAAAUUAGUAAG